AUCGAACGCUGGCGGCAUGCCUUACACAUGCAAGUCGAACGGCAGCACGGGAGCAAUCCUGGUGGCGAGUGGCGAACGGGUGAGUAAAGUAUCGGAACGUGCCCAGUCGUGGGGGAUAACGUAGCGAAAGUUACGCUAAUACCGCAUACGAUCUAUGGAUGAAAGCGGGGGAUCGCAAGACCUUGCGCGAUUGGAGCGGCCGAUAUCAGAUUAGGUAGUUGGUGGGGUAAAGGCCCACCAAGCCGACGAUCUGUAGCUGGUCUGAGAGGACGACCAGCCACACUGGGACUGAGACACGGCCCAGACUCCUACGGGAGGCAGCAGUGGGGAAUUUUGGACAAUGGGCGAAAGCCUGAUCCAGCCAUGCCGCGUGCAGGAUGAAGGCCUUCGGGUUGUAAACUGCUUUUGUACGGAACGAAAAGGACUGCCCUAAUACGGUGGUCCCAUGACGGUACCGUAAGAAUAAGCACCGGCUAACUACGUGCCAGCCGCCGCCGUAAGAC
rnacentral:rRNA from 1 species